rnacentral:rRNA from 1 species
GACGAACGCUGGCGGCGUGCCUAAUACAUGCAAGUCGAGCGGACGAUUCGAAAGCUUGCUUUUGAAUCGUUAGCGGCGGACGGGUGAGUAACACGUGGGCAACCUGCCCUGUAGACGGGGAUAACACCGAGAAAUCGGUGCUAAUACCGGAUAACACGAAAUGUCGCAUGACGUUUCGUUGAAAGGCGGCGCAAGCUGCCGCUACAGGAUGGGCCCGCGGCGCAUUAGCUAGUUGGUGAGGUAACGGCUCACCAAGGCGACGAUGCGUAGCCGACCUGAGAGGGUGAUCGGCCACACUGGGACUGAGACACGGCCCAGACUCCUACGGGAGGCAGCAGUAGAGAAUCUUCCGCAAUGGACGAAAGUCUGACGGAGCAACGCCGCGUGAGCGAAGAAGGCCUUCGGGUCGUAAAGCUCUGUUGUUAGGGAAGAACAAGUAACGUAGUAACUGACGUUACUAUGACGGUACCUAACGAGAAAGCCACGGCUAACUACGUG